AAAUGUAUUUGUAGGCCUUCGUUACAAUAUGCUGCUCCCAGCUACACCCCUUACUGUUGUCUACUACACCGCAACAGAAACAAACAAGUAUUACGUAGCUCCGUCUUAUUACACCACAGCUGCUCCAUCUUACAACACCGAGCCCAACUACUACACAACAACCUCGUCACCCCUGCAUUCUACACUGAGGCCCCAAAAUACUACUCGCCUCCAAGUUACUACACUGAAGCCUACACCUCAUACGCCAAGCCAGACAACUACACCAAUGCUCCACAAAACUAUGCUACUGCCUUUUACUAUACCACUAAGGCCCGGAGUACUACGGUAUUGAGAAGGCCGAGUACUACACCACUACCUAUGCUGCUCCAGCGCACUACACUGAAGUUCCAAAGUACUAUUGAUGGCCCCAAAGAUUUUAAUUGGUGAAUUGAAAAACCAUUACUGAAUUUUAAUUUUAUGUAGUUAUACCAUAGACAUUUUUCAAGAAAAGGAUUGCAGCCAAGGUAUCGUCACAAUAAUUUCGCUGGUGGUUUGGACUUUGAAGUUCAGUUCUUAUCACUGAUAUUAACCAAACUUAAAUCGACUAGAAAACGUAGACGCUUAUCUCUCAUUCUUUUAGUUUCUUUGACUAAGAAAGAAAUUUCAGCAUUUUGCAUCAAAAUCGAAGGCAAUGAAAAUCGGAAAACCGGAGGCAAUGAGCCAGCUGCCAGAGAUUCCACUGGAUAUCAUUUUAUUAGAUACCAAAUAGCCCGGACGUUUGAAAAUUGAAUAAAAUUUGUAAUUUGGGGUGUUAUAUCAUGAAGGCGGGGACCAUGAUUUAAAGCUUAUGUCAGUCAUCUGGAGUUAAUCACGUUCACAGCAAAUGUAUCGGACUGAAUGUAUUAGAAGCUAAUAAAAACCCGCUUGGUCUAUGUCAA